AGAUGCAGAGAGUAGGAGAGAUGAAGGGCGGGGUGACAGGCAGAAAAUGAGAAUACUUUCUCCUCCCCUCUUUUGCUAUCCUCAGAUGAACUCGCCAUGUUACUUGAUGAUAUUUUCUUUCUGGCCCGCCAUCUCUACUUCCUGCUAUUUUUGUGUUCCCUCCCCCCACUCGCUCUCUCUCUCUCUCUCUCACUCUCUCUCUCUCUCUCACUCUCUGACUAGUAUCGGUGUGCUAACCAGGAACAAAGUCACACUUCCUUUAUCAGGAAACAUAUGUCAGCCAUUGAAUAUUAUUGUAAGACUGGACUUAUAUUAAUAACAUGACAUUAUGGACAAAAGAACUUUUUCAACAGCAUCCUAGACCUUCUCUGUGUAAUAAUAACAACAUUUUUUAGCUCUCUGUCAUGUUUCCAGCUAUAAUGUUCAAACUGACCAGUAGAUUCAAGAUAUAUGCUUCAGUACCAGAGGGCUAUCCAUUUCACUGAAGAACCACAACACUGCUGAUAGUGUUUAGAAAGCAAGUCCAUGGUCAAGGCACCACGUGAAGCCUCAAUCUGCUUAGAGAGAUCAGACUAACAUUGAGACAGAACUUUGAGUGUGAGUUCUGCCUGCGUGCUGAACAUGUCGCACCGUUUUUAUGACAGUAAAAGGAGAAGCCAGUGUCGAUAGCUGCUUUUAUUCACCAUGCCGCUAUCAGAGUGAUAAGAGGCAAAUGCAGAGGGACCUCUGAGAACACAGGACAGAGUCAAACCAGGUCGACAGCAGACAGACUUCCUGUUUUGGGACGCUAUUUUUGUACGCAGGGCGUUUUCCCCCCUGGUCGUGCCGAAUGACAGAAUGGCUCGAAACUUUAGCCCGAGAGAUUUGCGCCACCAACUGACUAUUGUCACAUUGUAAUAUUGACAAAACCUCAGAAGGAAGUAGUAGAUUCCGACCUGGAUAUCAACAGCUGCGAAGAUGAGAAAUUAAAGAAAAGGAUACUUUUGAAUAGCAAGCGUUCAAGCUGUUUGCUGAUCAGUUUCAGCAGGUCACAGUGAACUCUAAGGAGGUAGGUUAACGCUUUUAUUCAAAUUCAAAAACUGAGUAGUGUAUAUUUACUGUGUUUGCUUUGCCACAGCAAAGUUCAGCAUUGUUUAUUUAGCAACCCAACUUCUGUUCCAGGAUAAUCCAAGUCUCUGUCCAGUUCCUCGGCUCUUCUCACUCGUGCAGCUAUUUCGAAGGGAGAGGCACUGGAUUUGUUUAUGGCAUCUGAGCAUGAAUGAAUCUUAAGGUGAAAACAGAGCCUUGGAGCUUUAGCUACUGUCCUUAAGGCUGAGGUAGUAGAUUGAAUAGUUGUGGGGUAUUAGUCCUCCCUCUGAGAUAACUAUACAAUCUACUGUCUUUCCUAAGGAGACAGUCUGAUCUACGGCCUGCUCUUGGACGGGUGGACACCAUGCCGACCCAGCUUGGACGCAAACUUAUACCUGGGGCUUUGAUUUCAAAAGAAAUAAAAGGAAUUAAAUGUGCUGAAGCUUUGUUUGUACCAAGUAUCCGGAGCUCUGUCCAUCUGGAAAUGUGUUCCCACGAGGUGAGGUAGUAGGUUGUAUAGUUUGUGGGAGGAACGACAUCCUAUUGCGGUGAUAACUAUACAGUCUAUUGCCUUCCUUGCGAGACACAACAACACAACAACUGAAAAGAGAAAGCGCAAGAGCUUCAGUGAUUACCCAGGCAUCCAAGAACCACGAAUGACAGGUACCAUGAUUUUAAUGGACGAUUUAUGGGUGACUUGAUAAAAAUUCAAACACGUGCUGUUAUUUUUUUCAGCACUGUCUUUUAUAUUCAAAAUAAAUAUGUAAUACAAUAA